rnacentral:lncRNA from 1 species
AUGCAAUAUAUAUGCCCCAGCCUUGAAACAAGAGCUGCCUGGCAGAGGCAGUGCAGUACAUUGGAAGCAUUGUUUUAUUGCUGCCUCGCUGCUGGGAUCGCUGAGCGCUCCCAAAAACCGCCUGGCGCUGCUGCUGUUCUGCUCCAGCGGGACGCAGGAUGCUGCGGGGGGUGGCCGCAUGCUGCCUCUGCUCACUGCGGAGCAGCAGCUCGAGCAAAUGCUAAAGGACUGGAAAUAGCAGUUAAUAAAGGAAUGGAAACAUCAGGCUAUCCGAGGAUGCAUUUUUCAAAGUAGUAAAGAGGAGGACCUUAUACUUUUCUCACUUCACUUGCAAGUGGCAGUACAGCAGGGUUUGCAGAAUCUACAGCAAUCAACAUCUUUGCUUAAUGGAGAGAUUUUGCUUCCCCUUUGUUGCAUGUGUUUUUGAGAAACAUCUGUAAGGACUGGGAAGAGAGUAAAAAUAUAUUACUGAUAAUUCAUGUCAGCAUUAUCCAGAGAAGAGAAUUGGGCACCAAUAGGCAACAGGGGUAUCUGUCCGUAUAAUUCAUUGUCAACAUGAACCUCGUGCAGUCAGAAAAUGUCUUUCUUGUUUAACUGGAGCCUCUAAUUACAGUCUAACUACUAUCAGGAGUUGGGACAUGGGUAGCAAUGAAAACAUUGCCCAAAUUCCUUAGGGAAGGUCUGGUGGAUUUUGUUCCUCAGCUCCUGUCCUUCAGUGAGAAAUCUUCAGCCACAGCUUCAGGGCAUUAUAUGCCAGAAAAUUAGGAAGGAGUCAGACCAAAGAAAUGUCCAAAGGUGCCUCAAGCCCAGUAUUUUGCCUCUAGCAACUGAGAAAGUUGACACCUGGGAAUGAAUGUGAGAAUGAAGCAAGCACAGAUUUUCCCUCAGCGUUUCCCCAGCUUCCACCAAUGUGCACAUCAAGGAUUGCAGACGUGUUAGACACUGUGUUCUUAUAUUUAUCAGCCUGCAGUGGAUUUCACUUUCAUGAACUCGUACAGUUGUAUUUUGAGCACACGCUAAGAUACCAUAUUGAAGGAGACAAACCUUCACAUUGGUAAAAGUUACCGCCCUGCUGGCUAUGACUAUGAUGGCAAAUUCUGCUUUGUUUUGAAAAUUUCACGUUAAGCUGUCCACCACUUUCUCAACUUAUCAUAGGGAAGAGCUAUUGCUAUGAAAUGUUAGGGAUAACAUGAAGCAGAAGAAUUUCAGAAAAUCAGAAGAGUAAGAAAAGCUUUCCUGUGAAAAACUCACAUAUUUUCCUAUUGAACAGGAUCAAGAGUUCCAGAAAACUAAC